rnacentral:rRNA from 1 species
CACGUAGGGGGCAAGCGUUGUCCGGAUUUAUUGGGCGUAAAGAGCUCGUAGGCGGUUCGGUAAGUUGGGUGUGAAACCUCCAGGCUCAACCUGGAGACGCCACCCGAUACUGCUGUGACUAGAGUCCGGUAGGGGAGCGUGGAAUUCCUGGUGUAGCGGUGAAAUGCGCAGAUAUCAGGAGGAACACCGGUGGCGAAGGCGGUUCUCUGGGCAUUACCUGACGCUGAGGAGCGAAAGUGUGGGGAGCGAACAGG